rnacentral:lncRNA from 1 species
AUAAAAAAAAACAAAAAGCCAACAGCUGCGGAUUCCCUUUUAUUCUUAAAAUUUUAUGUACAAGUGCAACUGAUUUACUUUUUAUUAAUGUACAUUCAAUAUAGAAAGUUUAUGUAUGCAUAUUACAUUUAACAUUUCACAAUUGCACUAGUCUUUCACAUACAUUUGUAAUCAGUCAGUACAAUUUGUUCUUUCAGACGCUCGUUUUCAGUUGGUCUUUAUUUAUUCAGGUAUAAAUAGUCGAGUGCUUUCUGGGGAAGGAAGGUUUUUGUCGGUUUACAGGACGAUGAGACGAGAGACAAACCAGGACAGAUUUCAAGCAGUGCGGCACAAAUUCAUGAUCAAUAAUCACGGUUCGACAGGUUCCUUCUCAAGCUUCUCUUUCCUUCUGAUUGCAAGCACUUACUCGAGGACUUCAGAAUAAAAAUAAGAACAGAGAGAUGCAUGAAGCAUUUAAUAAAAUGGAAAGCAUGUUGAGACGGGGACAGAUAUAAGUCCAGACAUGAGCUGAAUGUGAGACGCAGGAAGACGAAGAGACAAGAAAAGACAACGAAUCAGAGCCAACAUGGCCGCCAUUCAUCAGCUCACCGAAACGAAGACAAAUGCAUAAAAAUACCUCAAUACAAAAGUAAACUAUGUUACUCUCCAUGGUAAGAAAUUAUUUACGAGAUGUGACUGGAUAUAAAAUGAAAGAGGAAGUGUUAAAACGCAGGAGUCAGUGAAGUGCUGUGCGGGAGGAUGAUGAACGCUCUCUCUCUCUCUCUCUCUCUGUCUGGCUGUCUGUCUGUCUGUCACUCCAUCUUCUCUGCUCAGGAUCAGGAUCAGGAUCAGGAUGGCGGCGCUCCGGAGAGCGGUCUGUCUGUGUCCGGGUUUGUCUGGUGUUUCAUGAGUCUCCGGUGUCGUUGUCUACGGGCGGCGGGACACUCGGCAUGACUGUAGAGCCGCUGCCUGCUGUCAGAUAACCUGCCACUCCUGGACCUGAACACCACACACACCACACACCAUCAUCAUCAUCACACACCAUCAGCAUCAGCAUCAUCACACACACCAUCAUCAUCAUCACACACCACACACCAUCAGCAUCUCACACACACCACACACCAUCAUCAUCAUCAUCAUCACACACCAUCACACACACCACAAUCAUUCAGCAUCAUCACACACACCAUCAUCAUCACACACACCACACACCAUCAGCAUCAUCAUCAUCACACACCAUCACACACACCACACCCCAUCAGCAUCAUCACACACCACACACCAUCAGCAUCAGCAUCAUCACACACCAUCACACACACCACACCCCAUCAGCAUCAUCACACACCACACACCAUCAGCAUCAGCAUCAUCACACACCAUCACACACACCACACACCAUCAUCAUCAUCAUCAUCACACACCAUCACACACACCACACCAUCAGCAUCAGCAUCAUCACACACCAUCAUCAUCACACACACCACACACCAUCAGCAUCAUCCACACCACACACCAUCAGCAUCACACACACCACACACCAUCAGCAUCAUCACACUCACCAUCACACACACCAUCAUCAUCAUCACCAUUAUCAUCAUCUCACACAUCACACAGCAUCACCAUCAUCAUCAUCACACACACCACCAUCACACAGCAUCAUCAUCAUCAUCAUCAUCACACACCACCAUCACACACAUCACACAGCAUCAUCAUCAUCAUCACACACCAUCACACACACCACACACCAUCAGCAUCAUCACACACACACCACCCACCAUCAGCACCACACACCAUCAGCACCAUCACACACCACACACAUCAUCGUCAUCAUCACACACCACACACUAUCAUCACACACAUCACACAGCAUCAUCAUCAUCAUCAUCAUCACCAUUUCACGAUUAUCAGUAGAGAUGCACCGAUCGGCCGGCCAGGGAACAGAAUUAGACAGAAUUAGACGCUCACAGACCGCAUGUAAACAUGUCGUCAGUGUGGAAGUUCUUCACUGUGAGUGAAGAAGACACCAAGUUCGCAGUUUGUAAUACAUGAAGGGCCAAAGUAAACCGUGGGGAACCACAGGGCUCGAUUAACGCUCGUCUGGGACUAGAUGAUUUUUUUAAAGGGGCAAGUGAGUGAGAAAUGUACUUGCCUGACCAGACAAGAAGCCUGAUUAAAACGUCCAUAACAACAAACAAAACAACAAACAAAAACAAAAAAAAAACAGGGAAGCACCAAAAAUUUUCACGUGAGAAUGAUUGUGAUUUUACUGCAUUCAGUGUAAAUGGAGACUGAUGAUGCAUUUAUAUCAUGCCAGAAGAGGCUCUGAGUGAGAGGGAGACGUCCAGAAAUCAAAUCAAAAGCGCGCAACAGCACUCACAGAAAGUUAUAGAUGCAAAAAAAAAAAAGAUAUUUAUAAUAUAUGAUAUAGGUAAGCAACAUUACACGACCAAGAUGUUUCCCCGAAUAUCAGCAUGAUUGCAAUGUGACACUGAUUUUAUACAAUAGUCGUUCAAUAAACAAGAAGUUAAAAUUAAGUGACAAUAUUGACUGUUUUUGCUCCAAUUCGUUGAUGAAAAUAGUUCCAAAGCCACAGCAGAACUGUUUUGUGUCUCCGUGUAACACAAUGCUGUUUCGUUACUGAAUCAAUCUGCGUUUUUGAACGAAUCGAGUGAGUCAAUGAUUCAGUGAUCCAUUCAUAAAGAGUCACUUGCCUCGUUCCUGAACGAAUCAGCCAUCUGAACGAAUCGGUUGAAUGAAGGACUAAAUGACUCACUCAUUAAAACAGUAAUUUGCCGCCUCCUAUUGCUGCUUUGGUUUCAUAUUUAAAAGUAUCAUUGCAUUUUUCCCAACAUUUCUUAUUUGUUUGUUCAAAAAAUUAUUUAAAACAUUAAUCUUAUACAAUUAUUUAUGCAUUUGGAAUGUUGUGGUGUAAAUGCAUUUAAGGCAGCACAGCUUCAUCAAACAGUCUGUAAACACAUCUAAUGCCACUUCAGAUGCAGCUUCUGUUUCCUCUGCAGUGGAAAGAUGGAGUUUGUUCAUACUGAUUUGAUUUGAAUGGUAACAAAUCUACAGUUUCUUAUUUUACCUGAAUUCAUUGAAACAAUGUAAAAAUUUGAUGUGAAAGAUGACACAUUUAAUAAGGUUAGGGGGAAAAAAUGACUAUUUAUAAACGGUGGGAUAUGACAUCUGUUUUGUUACAUACAGCAACUCAUUUUUACCUCUUUCCAGUCACAGAGCACUUUAUUUUGAGAGAACAUCUGUAACUCAGUCCAGAUUGGGGGAAUUGUAAUUGGGGGAAUUGUAAUGUUUAAUAUUUUCUUUUAUGAUGUAAUUUUUUUUUUUUUUGCAUUGAAAAAAGUAGAUUUUUGUUUGUGUAUGCUGUCAAUUAUAGUUCUUAGAAAGAAAAUCUGAAUCUGCAAAAAUCAGUAUAGGCAGGUCACACUUCCAAAAAAAAUCGGAAUCGGCCAAGAAAAUUGCAAUCGGUGCAUCUCUAAUUAUAAGUGCUUCUCAUUACAAGUUUGUCACGAUGUUUGGUGUGUGUUUCAUUCCCAAAUGCAUGUUAAAGCGACUCGAUCUCAUCACAGCUGCAGAUGGAGUGGAUCAUUCACUGUGAGCCGAGAUGCUCUGAGACGCUAAAAACACCGGCGGAUCAUGAGCUGCUCACGUGUAAAUGAACACAGUGACACGAUUCACUGAAACACAGCGCAGAUAUUUAGUUUAUCAAAUUGCAGGCUUUGCCAUAAUCCACAUCACGAUUUCGGUUUUAUUUUGAUUAAUCAUGUAGCUUUAGUAAAUGAUGACAUUUUCCAUUUGGAACUUCACAGAUGUGGAUGAAAUGUUCUACUGAUAUCUGGCUGUGAAUGUGACCUUCAAUGGAAAACACUCAUUACAGCUAAAGCAGCAUCAGCGCUACACGUGAACAGUGGAAACACAGAUGGAAAUGAGUAUGAAAUGAAGCAGAAAGAGAGAUGAAGCCAUCAGAGGAGAGUCUACCUGCUUUACAGUAAUAAAGAAGAGGCUGGGAAAAACCAAGUGAGCUACUAAAGCCCACUGCGCAGCGGACUGCUGCCCGCCAGGAGAGACGGAGUGGACACACCUGAGGAGAGCGAGAGAGAGGAAAUGAAGAGCGCAGAGAAAGAGAGAGGAAGCAAGCAGACAUCAGAACCAGCAGAUGCAGAAACCGCAGCAGAAAGACCAGACAGUGAGCAACUCAUAUCAGACCAGCUACAGUCAGUACAGGUUAGUAUGGGUCAGUAUGAGUAAGUACGGGUUAGUAGUCAGUACGGGUCAGUAGUCAGUACAGGUUAGUACAGGUCAGUAGUCAGUAUGGGUCAGUAUGAGUAAGUACGGGUUAGUAGUCAGUACGGGUCAGUAGUCAGUACAGGUUAGUACAGGUCAGUAGUCAGUAUGGGUCAGUAUGAGUAAGUACGGGUUAGUAGUCAGUACGGGUCAGUAGUCAGUACGGGACUGCUCAUCCCUCACAUGAGGCGCUGUGUGCUGGACUCACCCGUCAGGUAACCUGCGG